UAGGGAAUCUUCCGCAAUGGACGCAAGUCUGACGGAGCAACGCCGCGUGAGUGAAGAAGGAUUUCGGUUCGUAAAACUCUGUUGUUAGAGAAGAACAGCGCAUAGAGUAACUGUUAUGCGUGUGACGGUAUCUAACCAGAAAGCCACGGCUAACUACGUGCCAGCAGCCGUGGUAAUACGUAGGUGGCAAGCGUUGUCCGGAUUUAUGGGGCGUAAAGCGAGCGCAGGCGGUCAAUUAAGUCUGAUGUGAAAGCCCCCGGCUCAACCGGGGAGGGUCAUUGGAAACUGGUUGACUUGAGUGCAGAAGAGGAGAGUGGAAUUCCAUGUGUAGCGGGGAAAUGCGUGGUUAUAUGGAGGAACACCGGUGGGGAAAGCGGCUCUCUGGUCUGUAACUGACGCUGAGGCUCGAAAGCGUGGGGAGCGAACAGG
rnacentral:rRNA from 1 species